rnacentral:lncRNA from 1 species
UCUAGAAUAAAUCCAUCAAUUUUGGUACAAUCCGACAGAGAAGUAUAGGGCGGAAGAAAAAUCAUUCUGCAUAGAUUCAUUUCACUCUAAAAUGAAAUUAGUGGUAUAUUCAUCUCUUUUUUGAAUGAAAGUGGUAGAUUCAUUUCAUCCUAACUCUACGUUGGAUCUAGUGACCUAAAAAUUAAUUUCUCCUAGGGUAGGCACCUAAAAUUUUGUAGGAUUUUCUUCUAGAAUUAAGUUUGCUUCAUGGGGAUGUCCUCUUUUGUCCUUCUCUACUA